GACGAACGCUGGCGGCGUGCUUAACACAUGCAAGUCGAACGGAAAGGCCUGCUUUCCCUUGUGGAUUGCGGGUACUCGAGUGGCGAACGGGUGAGUAACACGUGAGUGAUCUGCCCCCAACUUGGGUAUAAGCCUGGGAAACUGGGUCUAAUUCCCGAUAGGACUGCAGGGUGGUGCCUGUGGUGGAAAACGAUUUUCUAGUGGUUGGGGAUGAGCUCGCGGCCUAUCAGCUUGUUGGUGGGGUAAUGGCCUACCAAGGCGGCGACGGGUAGCCGGCCUGAGAGGGUGGACGGGCACAUUGGGACUGAGAUACGGCCCAGACUCCUACGGGAGGCAGCAGUGGGGAAUAAUGGACAAUGGGCGGAAGCCUGAUGCAGCGACGCCGCGUGGGGGAUGACGGCCUUCGGGUUGUAAACUCCUUUCGACCGCGAGGAAGCCACCUGGUUGGAAGGGUGGUGACGGUAGUGGUAGAAGAAGCACCGGCUAACUACGUG
rnacentral:rRNA from 1 species